GCGCCACAGUGGCGUCGAGACACCCCCCUCUGGCCUCCUUGACAAUGAGGAAGACACAGCGCUGCCCAGGUUUUCUUGCUACAAAAGUGGCGUUGACCUGGUGGCCUUGGAAGAGCACCAAAAAAAGAUAGGCAUCCUCCAACAGCUGAUGUUGAACAUUAACGCCGAGGGCUUCAAAUUCUCACGGUAUCAGCUUCAAUUUCGAGGAAUGCAUGACUCGGCCGCAGAGCAGAGCACACCUUCCCUUAUGUAAGCUUCAGCAGGACCCCUCACAGAUGUGUUACAUUCUCAGUACGCCACACAGUGUAACCAUUAUAAGGUUAUAUAGGAAGUGUGUGUUUACCAUCUCGGCUCAUGCCCAAAGCAAGACACUUCUGCAGACGACAGUGCUGACAGCGGUUGCGGUUGGUUCGGUCGAUCAAGCAGUUCCUCUGGCGGGAACAAGAAUACAUGGCGUUGUUCUGCUGGCUGCGGCGGAAGAAACCCUAAAGAGCCUUCACAGGUGAUGACACCAUAGUGGAUCCCCGAGGACUUGUCCCCACAGAUUUUACAGGGGAUGACCUCGAUCUGAGCUGCAGGACCAAAAGCAAGAUUGAUCAGACUUGGUAACAGACAACGAAGACGACUACUUUUGGACAAACGAGGAUUCACAACCUUAUCUUUUUGAAGCUGAAUAUACUGGAGAUGAACUGCUGCUUAUAGACGGCAGCACGAAGAAGAGGCUGAAAUGUUGGAGCAGACGGAAGCGACAUGGUCACGCUGCAAAUCUGGAACUUUUGAGCCAAGCUAUGCCGAAUUAAUGGAUUGUUUACCCAAAAUCAACUGGAAACGUCCCCGGCCAGCUGGACCAAACAGACAACUGUUCGAGCACCGCUCACCCCUGCCCUCCCUGCCUACACCUACGCUGCCCUCCCUGCCUACACCUACGCUGCCUGCCCUCCCUGCCUACACCUACACUGCCCUCCCUGCCUACACCUACGCUGCCCUCCCUGCCUACACCUACGCUGCCCUCCCUGCCUACACCUACACUGCCCUCCCCUGCCUACACCUACGCUGCGUACCUAGGUCAGUGUGUCAUUUCCCAUCCUUCACCACCUCAAUGUUUGAGUUGCCCUGCCCUUUCUUUUAUACUUUCCUCCAAGUCUUUGUGCUACAUAAGAUGUACUUGUUACCACACCUUCAUACAUUGUACGGCUUCGGAGUGCGAUCGAGUCGACUGUAAAAAUAGAAAGGCAGUUCAGGCCCAGGUCGAUGGGUACAGAUUAUCUCAUUGAGCAAAUAAAUCCCCGCCCCGACGGAGAUGGAUUGCUGGGAGAAAAGCAAACAUACGAUAACAUUUUUCUUUUUGUCCUUGACCUGAUUUUGCACAGCCUGCAAGUUUCCUGGUCCUUCUCUUCUGUUUGAUUGAUUCCAGAUUGGCAAACUACUGAAGGCGUUUCUAACAUUACAGUACCUUUUGUGGUGCCAUAUUCACAGAUGUGGGUAGUAACACGCUACAAUUUAAAGGAGCCUUAUGUAAUCAUUUCAUGUCAAGUCAUCAUUAA